GACGAACGCUGGCGGCGUGCUUAACACAUGCAAGUCGAACGGAAAGGCCCUGCUUUUGCGGGGUGCUCGAGUGGCGAACGGGUGAGUAUCACGUGAGUAACCUGCCCUUGACUUUGGGAUAACUUCAGGAAACUGGGGCUAAUACCGGAUAUGAGCUCCUGCUGCAUGGUGGGGGUUGGAAAGUUUCGGCGGUUGGGGAUGGACUCGCGGCUUAUCAGCUUGUUGGUGGGGUAGUGGCUUACCAAGGCUUUGACGGGUAGCCGGCCUGAGAGGGUGACCGGCCACAUUGGGACUGAGAUACGGCCCAGACUCCUACGGGAGGCAGCAGUGGGGAAUAUUGCGCAAUGGGCGGAAGCCUGAUGCAGCAACGCCGCGUGCGGGAUGACGGCCUUCGGGUUGUAAACCGCUUUCGCCUGUGACGAAGCGUGAGUGACGGUAAUGGGUAAAGAAGCACCGGCUAACUACGUG
rnacentral:rRNA from 1 species